rnacentral:rRNA from 1 species
AAGUCGUAACAAGGUAACCGUAGGUGAACCUGCGGUUGGAUCAUUAACAAAUUUAAAGACCACUUGAUUUUUUAAAUCAGUGGAUCUCAACAUUAUGUGAACUUAUUAUUGAAUCUUGGUAAGUUAUGAGAUUUGAAGGGUUGCUUAAUUUGUGACCUCGAGAUUCUUGUAGCUUGCCAAAACUAAACAUUAUAAAUUUUUUUUUAACUAUUUGUCUUGAAUUAAAUUAUAUUCUAAUUUAAACAACUUUUGACAACGGAUCUCUAGGCUCUCGCAACGAUGAAGAACGCAGCGAAAUGCGAUAAGUAAUGUGAAUUGCAGAAUUCCGUGAAUCAUUAAAUCUUUGAACGCACAUUGCGCUUGUUGGUAUUCCGACGAGCAUGUCUGUUUGAGGAUCAGUUUAAUUAUCAUCCCCUUGUUUUUGUUGUAAUGAUGAUUACUUGGUUGGAUGGAUUUGGGUUUCUAUUGCUUUCUUUAGAAAGCGAUUUACCUUUAUAUCAUUUGUUGCUUUGAAGUUCUAUGAAUUUUAAACUAGAAGGCAUGACCAAUGAACGCAAGUUCUAUGAUUGCUGAUAAAGGUUUCUCUUUUAAUAGUAAUUUCGUUAAGAAGUAAACGUUAAAAAUAAACACGAGGCUACUUUUAAUUAAGAAGCUUUAAGACUUGAUCUCAAAUCAGAUAAGACUACCCGCUGAACUUAAGCAUAUCAUAGCGGAGGAAAAGAAACUACAAGGAUUCCCUAGUAACGGCGAGUGAAGCGGGAAUAGCUCAAAUUUGAAAUCUCUUUGGUCUCCAAAGCGAAUUGUAGUUUAAAGAAGUGUUUUCGGGGGCAGCUUACGGUUAAGUUCCUUGGGAUAGGGCAUCAUAGAAGGUGAGAAUCCUGUAUGUGCUGUGAUCCUGCUCCUAUGUGAUACACUUUCUAAGAGUCGGGUUGUUUGGGAAUGCAGCCCAAAAUGGGUGGUAAAUACCAUCUAAAGCUAAAUAUUGGCGAGAGACCGAUAGCGAACAAGUACCGUGAGGGAAAGAUGAAAAGAACUUUGAAAAGAGAGUUAAAAGUACGUGAAAUUGUCAAAAGGGAAACACUUGAAACCAGUCUUGCAGUUGGAAUCCCAACUAGUCUAACGAUUAGCAUAUGUUUUCAACUGCAGGUCAAUAUCAGUUUCAUUUGAAGUACAAAGCUUGAAGAAGGUGGCCCCUCGGGGUGUUAUAGCUUCAAGUAAUGCUUUGGGUGAGACUGAGGAAUGCAGCGCAGUCUUGGGUACCCUGUCGCUGGUUGACGCACUUUUAUAGACAACUUGUUGAUUAUGAAGGUGAUAAGGCCAAUCGGCGGGUUUGCCACACCUGUGCUUAGGAUAUUGACAUAAUGGUUUUAAAUGACC